rnacentral:misc_RNA from 1 species
UCCGGUUUGUCACCGGCAGUCUCACUAGAGUGCCCAACUGAAUGUGGCAACUAAUGACAAGGGUUGCGCUCGUUGCGGGACUUAACCCAACAUCUCACGACACGAGCUGACGACAACCAUGCAGCACCUGUGUUCCCGCCAGCCGAACUGAAGGAUCUCAUCUCUGAAAUCCAUACGGGACAUGUCAAGGGCUGGUAAGGUUCUGCGCGUUGCUUCGAAUUGAACCACAUGCUCCACCGCUUGUGCGGGCCCCCGUCAAUUUCUUUGAGUUUUAGCCUUGCGGCCGUACUCCCCAGGCGGGGUGCUUAAUGCGUUAGCUGCGGCACGGGAGGAGUCGACACCUCCCACACCUAGCACCCAUCGUUUACGGCGUGGACUAC